AUUGAACGCUGGCGGCAGGCCUAACACAUGCAAGUCGAACGGCAGCACAGAAGAGCUUGCUCUUUGGGUGGCGAGUGGCGGACGGGUGAGUAAUGUCUGGGAAACUGCCCGCUGGAGGGGGAUAACUACUGGAAACGGUAGCUAAUACCGCAUAACGUCGCAAGACCAAAGUGGGGGACCUUCGGGCCUCACACCAUCGGAUGUGCCCAGAUGGGAUUAGCUAGUCGGUGGGGCAAUGGCGCACCUAGGCGACGAUCCCUAGCUGGUCUGCGAGGAUGACGAGACACACUGGAACUGAGACACGGUCCAGACUCCUACGGGAGGCAGCAGUGGGGAAUAUUGCACAAUGGGCGCAAGCCUGAUGCAGCCAUGCCGCGUGUAUGAAGAAGGCCUUCGGGUUGUAAAGUACUUUCAGCGGGGAGGAAGGCGGUGAGGUUAAUAGCCUUGCCGAUUGACGUUACCCGCAGAAGAAGCACCGGCUAACUCCGUGCCAGCCGCCGCGGUAACAC
rnacentral:rRNA from 1 species